rnacentral:tRNA from 1 species
AAACUUAGGAUAACAA